CCUACGGGAGGCAGCAGUGAGGAAUAUUGGUCAAUGGCCGAGAGGCUGAACCAGCCAAGUCGCGUGAGGGAAGACGGCCCUACGGGUUGUAAACCUCUUUUGUCGGGGAGUAAAGCGAGUCACGUGUGACUCAUUGAGAGUACCCGAAGAAAAGGCAUCGGCUAACUCCGUGCCAGCAGCCGCGGUAAUACGGAGGAUGCGAGCGUUAUCCGGAUUUAUUGGGUUUAAAGGGUGCGCAGGGGGAGGUGAAAGUCAGCGGUAAAAUUGUGGGGCUCAACCCCAUACUGCAGUUGAAACUGCAAGCCUUGAGUGCAGUAGAGGUAGGCGGAAUUCGUGGUGUAGCGGUGAAAUGCUUAGAUAUGACGAAGAACCCCGAUUGCGAAGGCAGCUUGCUGCACCGGAACUGACGCUGAGGCUCGAAAGCGCGGGUAUCGAACAGGAUUAGAUACCCGUGUAGUC
rnacentral:rRNA from 1 species